AUGGUACAGAGUCAAUGUGGAGGCUAUAUACAGGGGGUACCGGUACAGAGUCAAUGUGGAGGCUAUAUACAGGGGGUACCGGUACAGAGUCAAUGUGGAGGCUAUAUACAGGGGGUACCGGUACAGAGUCAAUGUGGAGGCUAUAUACAGGGUGUUAUGGUACAGAGUCAAUGUGGAGGCUAUAUACAGGGUGUUAUGGUACAGAGUCAAUGUGGAGGCUAUAUACAGGGGGUACCGGUACAGAGUCAAUGUGGAGGCUAUAUACAGGGGGUACCGGUACAGAGUCAAUGUGGAGGCUAUAUACAGGGGGUACCGGUACAGAGUCAAUGUGGAGGCUAUAUACAGGGGGUACCGGUACAGAGUCAGUGUGGAGGCUAUAUACAGGGUGUUAUGGUACAGAGUCAGUGUGGAGGCUAUAUACAGGGUGUUAUGGUACAGAGUCAAUGUGGAGGCUAUAUACAGGGUGUUAUGGUACAGAGUCAAUGUGGAGGCUAUAUACAGGGGGUACCGGUACAGAGUCAAUGUGGAGGCUAUAUACAGGGGGUACCGGUACAGAGUCAAUGUGGAGGCUAUAUACAGGGGGUACCGGUACAGAGUCAAUGUGGAGGCUAUAUACAGGGGGUACCGGUACAGAGUCAAUGUGGAGCUAUAUACAGGGGGUACCGGUACAGAGUCAAUGUGGAGGCUAUAUACUGGGGGUACCGGUACAGAGGCAAUGUGGAGGAUAUAUACAGGGGGUACCAGUACAGAGUCAGUGUGGAGGCUAUAUACAGCAUGUUAUGGUACAGAGUCAGUGUGGAGGCUAUAUACAGGGUGUUAUGGUACAGAGUCAAUGUGGAGGCUAUAUACAGGGUGUUAUGGUACAGAGUCAAUGUGGAGGCUAUAUACAGGGGGUACCGGUACAGAGUCAAUGUGGAGACUAUAUACAGGGGGUACUGGUACAGAGUCAAUGUGGAGGCUAUAUACAGGGUGUUAUGGUACAGAGUCAAUGUGGAGGCUAUAUACAGGGGGUACCGGUACAGAGUCAAUGUGGAGGCUAUAUACAGGGGGUACCGGUACAGAGUCAAUGUGGAGGCUAUAUACAGGGGGUACCGGUACAGAGUCAAUGUGGAGGCUAUAUACAGGGGGUACCGGUGCAGAGUCAAUGUGGAGGCUAUAUACAGGGUGUUAUGGUACGGAGUCAAUGUGGAGGCUAUAUACAGGGGGUACCGGUACAGAGUCAAUGUGGAGGCUAUAUACAGGGGGUACAGGUACAGAGUCAAUGUGGAGGCUAUAUACAGGGGGUACCGGUACAGAGUCAAUGUGGAGGCUAUAUACAGGGGGUACCGGUACAGAGUCAAUGUGGAGGCUAUAUACAGGGGGUACCGGUACAGAGUCAAUGUGGAGGCUAUAUACAGGGUGUUAUGGUACAGAGUCAAUGUGGAGGCUAUAUACAGGGGGUACCGGUACAGAGUCAAUGUGGAGACUAUAUACAGGGGGUACCGGUACAGAGUCAAUGUGGAGGCUAAAUACAGGGUGUUAUGGUACAGAGUCAAUGUGGAGGCUAUAUACAGGGGGUACCGGUACAGAGUCAAUGUGGAGGCUAUAUACAGGGGGUACCGGUACAGAGUCAAUGUGGAGGCUAUAUACAGGGGGUACCGGUACAGAGUCAAUGUGGAGGCUAUAUACAUGGGGUACCGGUACAGAGUCAAUGUGGGGGCUAUAUACAGGGGGUACCGGUACAGAGUCAAUGUGGAGGCUAUAUACAGGGAGUACCGGUACAGAGUCAAUGUGGAGGCUAUAUACAGAGGGUACCGGUACAGAUUCAAUGUGGAGGCUAUAUACAGGGAGUACCGGUACAGAGUCAAUGUGGAGGCUAUAUACAGGGGGUACCGGUACAGAGUCAAUGUGGAGGCUAUAUACAAGGGUACCGGUACAGAGUCAAUGUGGAGGCUAUAUACAAGGGGUACCGGUACAGAGUCAAUGUGGAGGCUAUAUACAGGGGGUACCGGUACAGAGUCAAUGUGGAGGCUAUAUACAGGGGGUACCGGUACAGAGUCAAUGUGGAGGCUAUAUACAGGGUGUUAUGGUACAGAGUCAAUGUGGAGGCUAUAUACAGGGGGUACCGGUACAGAGUCAAUGUGGAGGCUAUAUACAGGGGUACCGGUACAGAGUCAAUGUGGAGGCUAUAUACAGGGGGUACCGGUACAGAGUCAAUGUGGAGGCUAUAUACAGGGGGUACCGGUACAGAGUCAAUGUGGAGGCUAUAUACAGGGGGUACCGGUACAGAGUCAAUGUGGAGGCUAUAUACAGGGAGUACCGGUACAGAGUCAAUGUGGAGACUAUAUACAGGGAGUACCGGUACAGAGUCAAUGUGGAGGCUAUAUACAGGGGGUACCGGUACAGAGUCAAUGUGGAGGCUAUAUACAGGGGGUACCGGUACAGAGUCAAUGUGGAGCCUAUAUACAGGGGGUACCGGUACAGAGUCAAUGUGGAGGCUAUAUACAGGGGGUACCGGUACAGAGUCAAUGUGGAGGCUAUAUACAGGGGGUACCGGUACAGAGUCAAUGUGGAGGCUAUAUACAAUGGGUACCGGUACAGAGUCAAUGUGGGGGCUAUAUACAGGGGGUACCGGUACAGAUUCAAUGUGGAGGCUAUAUACAGGGAGUACCGGUACAGAGUCAAUGUGGAGGCUAUAUACAGGGGUACCGGUACAGAGUCAAUGUGGAGGCUAUAUACAGGGGUACCGGUACAGAGUCAAUGUGGAGGCUAUAUACAGGGGGUACCGGUACAGAGUCAAUGUGGAGGCUAUAUACAGGGGGUACCGGUACAGAGUCAAUGUGGAGGCUAUAUACAAGUGGUACCGGUACAGAGUCAAUGUGGAGGCUAUAUACAGGGUGUUAUGGUACAGAGUCAAUGUGGAGGCUAUAUACAGGGGGUACCGGUACAGAGUCAAUGUGGAGACUAUAUACAGGGGGUACCGGUACAGAGUCAAUGUGGAGGCUAUAUACAGGGUGUUAUGGUACAGAGUCAAUGUGGAGGCUAUAUACAGGGGGUACCGGUACAGAGUCAAUGUGGAGGCUAUAUACAGGGAGUACCGGUACAGAGUCAAUGUGGAGGCUAUAUACAGAGGGUACCGGUACAGAUUCAAUGUGGAGGCUAUAUACAGGGAGUACCGGUACAGAGUCAAUGUGGAGGCUAUAUACAGGGGGUACCGGUACAGAGUCAAUGUGGAGGCUAUAUACAGGGGUACCGGUACAGAGUCAAUGUGGAGGCUAUAUACAGGGGGUACCGGUACAGAGUCAAUGUGGAGGCUAUAUACAGGGGGUACCGGUACAGAGUCAAUGUGGAGGCUAUAUACAGGGGGUACCGGUACAGAGUCAAUGUGGAGGCUAUAUACAGGGAGUACCGGUACAGAGUCAAUGUGGAGACUAUAUACAGGGAGUACCGGUACAGAGUCAAUGUGGAGGCUAUAUACAGGGGGUACCGGUACAGAGUCAAUGUGGAGGCUAUAUACAGGGGGUACCGGUACAGAGUCAAUGUGGAGCCUAUAUACAGUGGGUACCGGUACAGAGUCAAUGUGGAGGCUAUAUACAUGGGGUACCGGUACAGAGUCAAUGUGGAGGCUAUAUACAGGGGGUACCGGUACAGAGUCAAUGUGGAGGCUAUAUACAGGGAGUACCGGUACAGAGUCAAUGUGGAGGCUAUAUACAGAGGGUAACGGUACAGAUUCAAUGUGGAGGCUAUAUACAGGGAGUACCGGUACAGAGUCAAUGUGGAGGCUAUAUACAGGGGGUACCGGUACAGAGUCAAUGUGGAGGCUAUAUACAGGGGUACCGGUACAGAGUCAAUGUGGAGGCUAUAUACAGGGGGUACCGGUACAGAGUCAAUGUGGAGGCUAUAUACAGGGGGUACCGUUACAGAGUCAAUGUGGAGGCUAUAUACAGGGGGUACCGGUACAGAGUCAAUGUGGAGGCUAUAUACAGGGAGUACCGGUACAGAGUCAAUGUGGAGACUAUAUACAGGGAGUACCGGUACAGAGUCAAUGUGGAGGCUGUAUACAGGGAGUACCGGUACAGAGUCAAUGUGGAGGCUAUAUACAGGGUGUUAUGGUACAGAGUCAAUGUGGAGGCUAUAUACAGGGGGUACCGGUACAGAGUCAAUGUGGAGGCUAUAUACAGGGGUACCGGUACAGAGUCAAUGUGGAGGCUAUAUACAGGGGGUACCGGUACAGAGUCAAUGUGGAGGCUAUAUACAGGGGGUACCGGUACAGAGUCAAUGUGGAGGCUAUAUACAGGGGGUACCGGUACAGAGUCAAUGUGGAGGCUAUAUACAGGGGGGUACCGGUACAGAGUCAAUGUGGAGGCUAUAUACAGGGGGUACCGGUACAGAGUCAAUGUGGAGGCUAUAUACAGGGGUACCGGUACAGAGUCAAUGUGGAGGCUAUAUACAGGGGGUACCGGUACAGAGUCAAUGUGGAGGCUAUAUACAGGGGGUACCGGUACAGAGUCAAUGUGGAGGCUAUAUACAGGGGGUACCAGUACAGAGUCAAUGUGGAGGCUAUAUACAGGGAGUACCGGUACAGAUUCAAUGUGGAGACUAUAUACAGGGAGUACCGGUACAGAGUCAAUGUGGAGGCUAUAUACAGGGGGUACCGGUACAGAGUCAAUGUGGAGGCUGUAUACAGGGAGUACCGGUACAGAGUCAAUGUGGAGGCUAUAUACAGGGUAUUAUUGUACAGAGUCAAUGUGGAGGCUAUAUACAUGGGGUACCGGUACAGAUUCAAUGUGGAGGCUAUAUACAGGGGUACCGGUACAGAGUUAUUGUGGAGGCUAUAUACAGGGGGUACCGGUACAGAGUCAAUGUGGAGGCUAUAUACAGGGGGUACCGGUACAGAGUCAAUGUGUAGGCUAUAUACAGGGAGUACCGGUACAGAGUCAAUAUGGAGGCUAUAUACAUGCGGUACUGGUACAGAGUCAAUGUGGAGGCUAUAUACAGGGGGUACCGGUACAGAGUCAAUGUGGAGGCUAUAUACAGGGGGUACCGGUACAGAGUCAAUGUGGAGGCUAUAUACAGGGGAUACCGGUACAGAGUCAAUGUGGAGGAUAUAUACAGGGGUACCGGUACAGAGUCAAUGUGGAGGCUUUAUAG
rnacentral:lncRNA from 1 species